rnacentral:rRNA from 1 species
AACGAACGCUGGCGGCAUGCCUAACACAUGCAAGUCGAACGAUUGCCUUCGGGUGAUAGUGGCGCACGGGUGCGCAACGCGUGGGAAUCUGCCCUUAGGUUCGGAAUAACAGCUGGAAACGGCUGCUAAUACCGGAUGAUAUCGCGAGAUCAAAGAUUUAUCGCCUGAGGAUGAGCCCGCGUUGGAUUAGGUAGUUGGUGGGGUAAAGGCCUACCAAGCCGACGAUCCAUAGCUGGUCUGAGAGGAUGAUCAGCCACACUGGGACUGAGACACGGCCCAGACUCCUACGGGAGGCAGCAGUGGGGAAUAUUGGACAAUGGGCGCAAGCCUGAUCCAGCAAUGCCGUGUGAGUGAUGAAGGCCCUAGGGUUGUAAAGCUCUUUUACCCGGGAAGAUAAUGACUGUACCGGGAGAAUAAGCCCCGGCUAACUCCGUG